rnacentral:rRNA from 1 species
UACGUAGGGUGCGAGCGUUAAUCGGAAUUACUGGGCGUAAAGUGUGCGCAGGCGGCCGAGCAAGUCGAGUGUGAAAGCCCCGAGCUUAACUUGGGAACUGCGCUCGAAACUACUUGGCUAGAGUGUGGCAGAGGGAGGUGGAAUUCCACGUGUAGCGGUGAAAUGCGUAGAGAUGUGGAGGAACACCGAUGGCGAAGGCAGCCUCCUGGGCCAACACUGACGCUCAUGCACGAAAGCGUGGGGAGUAAACAGG